UAUCACAGUCAAUGCUUUGGGCUC
rnacentral:miRNA from 1 species